GAUGAACGCUGGCGGCGUGCUUAACACAUGCAAGUCGAACGAUGAAGCCCAGCUUGCUGGGUGGAUUAGUGGCGAACGGGUGAGUAACACGUGAGUAACCUGCCCUUAACUCUGGGAUAAGCCUGGGAAACUGGGUCUAAUACCGGCUAGGUGCGUCCACCGCAUGGUGGGUGUUGGAUAGAUUUAUCGGUUUUGGAUGGACUCGCGGCCUAUCAGCUUGUUGGUGAGGUAAUGGCUCACCAAGGCGACGACGGGUAGCCGGCCUGAGAGGGUGACCGGCCACACUGGGACUGAGACACGGCCCAGACUCCUACGGGAGGCAGCAGUGGGGAAUAUUGCACAAUGGGCGCAAGCCUGAUGCAGCGACGCCGCGUGAGGGAUGACUGCCUUCGGGUUGUAAACCUCUUUCAGUAGGGAAGAAGCGAAAGUGACGGUACCUGCAGAAGAAGCACCGGCUAACUACGUG
rnacentral:rRNA from 1 species